UACGUAGGGGCCGAGCGUUGUCCGGAGUUAUUGGGCGUAAAGCGCGCGCAGGCGGCCUCGCGCGCCCGACGUGAAAGCCCUCGGCUUAACCGGGGAGGGUCGUUGGGGACGGCGGGGCUUGAGGGCGGGAGAGGUCGGUGGAAUUCCCGGUGUAGUGGUGAAAUGCGUAGAGAUCGGGAGGAACACCUGUGGCGAAGGCGGCCGACUGGGCCGACCCUGACGCUGAGGCGCGAAGGCGUGGGGAGCGAACGGG
rnacentral:rRNA from 1 species